ensembl:miRNA
GGCUGUGGCGUGACUGUCCCUCUGUGUCCCCCACCAGGCCUACUGCUCAGUGCAGCGUGGAAGACGAGGAGGAGGCC